CAGCCGCCGCGGUAAUACGCAGGGGGCGAGCGUUGUCCGGAAUUAUUGGGCGUAAAGCGCGCGCAGGCGGUCCCUUAAGUCUGAUGUGAAAGCCCACGGCUCAACCGUGGAGAGUCAUUGGAAACUGGGGGACUUGAGUGCAGAAGAGGAGAGCGGAAUUCCACGUGUAGCGGUGAAAUGCGAAGAGAUGUGGAGGAACACCAGUGGCGAAGGCGGCUCUCUGGUCUGUAACUGACGCUGAGGCGCGAAAGCGUGGGGAGCAAACAGGAUUAGAUACCCUGGUAGUCCACGCCGUAAACGAUGAGUGCUAAGUGUUAGAGGGGUUAAACCCUUUAGUGCUGUAGCUAACGCGUUAAGCACUCCGCCUGGGGAGUACGGCCGCAAGGCUGAAACUUAAAGGAAUUGGCGGG
rnacentral:rRNA from 1 species